UACGGAGGGUGCAAGCGUUAUCCGGAUUCACUGGGUUUAAAGGGUGCGUAGGUGGGCAGGUAAGUCAGUGGUGAAAUCUCCGGGCUUAACCCGGAAACUGCCGUUGAUACUAUCUGUCUUGAAUGUAGUGGAGGUGAGCGGAAUAUGUCAUGUAGCGGUGAAAUGCUUAGAUAUGACAUAGAACAUCAAUUGCGAAGGCAGCUCGCUACACGGUUAUUGACACUGAGGCACGAAAGCGUGGGGAUCAAACAG
rnacentral:rRNA from 1 species